rnacentral:lncRNA from 1 species
AAACAAAAAAAAAAAAAAAAAGGUUUGAAUAACAAGUUUAGCUCUUACACAUUUUAAUUGAUUUUUGAUGUGGAAUUUUUUUUGUUUUCCUUAUUUUUUCAGGUUAGUAAAGAGAAAAAUCCGACCAAUCAAGUAUUGUGGUGUCUCUCUGUUCGAACAAAUAUCAGAGUUGAAUGGCUCGUGAAACUUUGGAAAGGGUUUUAGCGGAGUGAGUGGGUGAUUCAUGAUUCUCUUCGAUUUUCUAUAAGAGGGCCUCUACUUUCUCCUCUUUGGCGAAAUACGAUGCUAGAAAGAUUCUUGAUUUGAUUAACUAUGGUUGUGUCUGUUUGAAUGGUCUUUUCAAAUGAUUAAAUUAAAAAUAAGUUGUUUUGAAAAAAAAAAAUAAUAUGUUUGACAACCACCUAAAAUGAAUUUAUAAAAUAAUGUGGUUUAGGAUGAACACCUAAAACCAACUUUAAAAAAAAUAAAUUUGGUGUGUUUAAUGGUUAAUCUCCCUAAUUUGUACGAAACAAUCUUGACAACACGUUCAACUAUCCUCACCAACCAACCUUUGAUAACUAUCUCGGUCAAUUGUAGUUGACCAACUUUCUUUCACCGUUUUUCGUAGUCGUUGCCUAUCAACUUUUGUUGGUCAUUUUUCUAUGACCGUUAUUGACUUAUUUUUGUCAAUUGUUUUAUGGUAACCGUUACUAGUCAACUUUUGUCCAUCAUUUUUCUGUAAAUGUUUAUUGGCCAACUACCAACAACCAUUUUUUUUUUAUGAUUGCCAUCGUUUGACUUCCGAUGACCACGGUCACUAAUCUCUGAUUAUCAUUUUACAAUGGAUGUUCCCGACCAUCUCAAAUCACCAUCCUCGAUGAUCGAUCGUUGUCAAACUUCUAUCAAAAUCUCCACAGAGAAAUUCUAUAUAUACAUAUAUAAUCUUAUACUCUAUUGCAAAUGAAACAAAUUUUGACUUAAGAACACAUUUUGAGAAAAAGUUACCAAACACACGUUUUUUUCUUUUAAGGAGUUGUUAUAAAAAGUGUUUACAUGAAAAUGUAUUUUUUAGAAUAUUUUUUUUAAAGUCAUUUCAAAGAGACUCCAUUGAACAAUACUAUUAAUGAGAUCAAUGAAUGUUUUAUUAGGCAUUUGAAUUUGUCUCAUUCUCAUUUUGUCCUUGAGCUCAAAACCAAAAAACUAAAGGCAUCAUUCAAACCUAGUGAGUUAACUUUAGUUGGAUUCCCCUCCUACAUCUCUUACUAACAUAUGUUUUUCUUUUUUGUAUUUAUAUUUUUUUUUUCAAAAAAGAAAAAGUUUAUAAAAACUCUAAAAAGUAAAUAUGUUAUGUUUCAUUUAGGGAAAGUUUUAAAUAUAGUAAAAUAAACUAAAAUAUUUACAAAAUAUAGCAAAAUUUUGGAUUCUAUUAAGGUCUGUGUGGUAACAUUUCCGUUUCAUGUUUCAUGUUUCAUGUUUCUUGUUUCUUGUUCUACGUUUCUUUUUUUUUUAGAACAAGAGAUAUGAAUGUAUUUGAUACUUGUUUCUACUUCUUGUUUCUUGUUUCUUGAAAAAAAAAAACAGAAAGAAAAUGUGUUUGAUAACUAUUUCUUGUUUUCUUAUUUUUCUUCGAGAUUUAUUUUUUAUUUUAUUUAUGUUAUUUUAUUCACAUCUAAUUCAAUUAAACAUUACACCACUCGCACUUUAUCCAACCUAGAUAGGAAGGUCUUCUAGUACUCUUAUGGAGAUCAAGAUGAAGAUUGAGAUUUGAAGGAGAGAGCCAAUGAGGAGGAAGACAAAAUCCCACGAUGAAGAGGAGGACUAAAAUCCACGGAAAAAAGGAAGACAAAGACCCAUGGCGAAAACACAAAUCUGUCGAAAACCCACAACAAAAAUCCAGAUUCACACGAAGAGGAAAAGGAAAACCCAGAUCCGACAAAGAGGAAAACGUUGUGUAGAGGAAGACGACGAGAGGAAGAUGUCGAAGACAAUAAGAGGAGGAGGAAGACGAUGGUUAUUUGGUGAAGACGAUGGAGAUAAGAGGAGAAGAAAAAGGAAACCAUGUGGAGAGUGGUUAUUUGCAGAAAAAGAUAGAAAUAAGAGUAAGAAAAAGGAAAUCACUUGAUAAAAUGGAAAAGGAAAAGAAAAUAGAAAGAUAAUUGAGAAAAAGAAAAUGGAAAAGGAAAAGAAAAUAGAAAAAUAAUUGAGAAAAAGAAAAUGGAAAAGGAAAAGAAAAUAGAAAAAUAAUUGAGAAAAAGAAAAUGGAAACCAAUAAAAAUAAUUGAGAAAAAGAAAAAGGAAACCAAUAGAAAUAAUUAAGAAAAAUGAAAAGAAAACCGAUAAAAAUAAUUGAGAAAAAUAAAAGAAAACUAAUAUAAAAAAUUGAGAAAAAGGAAAAGGAAAAGGAAACCAAUAAAAAUAGGUGAGAAACGGAAGGAGAAACUAUUUUUUUUUUUUUAACAAUUCCUUAUAAAAUAAGAAAUGUUUCUAUUUUUUUUAUAACGAGAAACAUAGAACGUUAUCAAACAUCCAUGUUUCUUAAAAAAUGAAAAACCAGUAACAAAAAACAAAAAACACGAACGUUACCAAACGAGCCCUUAAUGUCUAUCUGAUUAGUAGAAUCUGAUAUAAUAUUUGAUUUAGGUAUGUUGGAAUAUGUUACAUAUUUAAAUUUAAAAUUUGUAGUUGAAGAAAACAAUGCGUAUAUGCUCUCACUCCCUCUGAUGCAUACGGAUAGAGGAAGUGGACAUCUCUACCUUAGACUUACAUACCAUUGUUUAUGUUUUCUUUUUUUUGAUAAAAAUAAAUGGUAGCGUGGACAUGGCCGGACUUAUAUUAAAACGAAUACAAUUACUUUAUUAUUACAAACUGAUGAAGCUUUAUCUUUCCUAAAUGGAUGUGUAGUGUGUAGUAUGGAAUAUAAUAUAAAGAAUAAAAUUUCAAUUAAACAAAUUAAUUAUUAUUAUCACAUCAUAACUACAUUAUGAUUUCAUUGCAUUAAUUUUCCAUCAUUUCCGGUGCUUUGUUUAAAAUAAUUAUAUAUAUACUCUGUCUAUUCUCAUCUUCUUUAUAAGACUGAAAUUAAAUCUGACCUCUCCCAUGUGCUCCUCAUAUAUUAUUCAUCAAAUUACUAAAUCAAUUGUUUCUGUUGCUUUCACAAUCAAUUUUAUUUUACUUACAUUAUAUUAUAUAUUUUCUUCUUUUCACUUAUUUUAUUUUGGGUUAUCUAAAUUAUUCCUAAAUAUUACUAUCUUAUUUUAAUUUAAAAAUUCCCCAAUAUUUAUUUAAUCUACUUAUUAUUUAUUUUUUAAAUUUUAAUACCUCUAACCAAUAAUAGUAUUACACAUUUAAUUUUAUUAAGUAGUUCAUGAAUGUUGACUUCUUGUAGCCUAAUAGUUCGAAUACUAGUUUGUUGGCCUUUUACAAAGAUGAAAUUAAGGCCCAAAUAAGAAUUGAUUUCCUUGGCUUGAUGGACAUUUGUCCCAUUGCUUGAAUCUUACCAAAAACAAAAAUUACUCUUUCUUGAUGUCAAGUUUUUGACAAAAUAAGAUGUAUCUUAUAUAUGUGUAGGACAUCUACCAUAAAUUUGUAUUUUAGGAGAACAUAGCUUGCUUGCAACUAAAAAAAACUUGUGCAUCACUAUAUUGUAAGCGACAACCCACUUGAAUGAUUAAGUCAAAAGAUUAGAAGGAGAAUGGAGUAUUUGAUACUACUUGGAGAACUUACCUCAUUCAUGUACUUCUCUAUUUGUACCUUUCGUCUCAUUUUUUUUUUGUUCUUUAUUUGAUAGGAUUUUCGAUUAGACUGACUGUGUGUAGGCUUUUUUCAGGUCGAAGUCAACUCACCUAACAUCCUUGGUGUUUUUAGGGUUUAAUCUAUUCUAACCUAACCUAUGUUGGACUUUGGUCUCUUGGGCCUGAUCUUGGUUAGGGUCGAGCAUGAUUAGGCAUGGUUUAUUCUUGGGCCCAAUCCUUCAAUCUCAUUCUACUCUUCCUUUCACUAUUCUAAACCCUAAUUCAAAAAUCCACUCAUAACAAUAGCCCUACUUUCCAAGAUAGGAUUUGCGACUUCCUACGCUUUUUGUCACAAAUUUAAUUAUCAUAACCUAUCUUAGGAAUGCAAUCUCCAUUCUAAUUCCACAUUAUAGUCUCAUGAAACUUAGUAUAUACUUGUUAGGGGUAUUUGGGUCUAUCAAGCCAAACUCUUUUGUGGCUUAACUGAUUUUUCAACGUUUUUCUCCAUCUUACGACUAACUAUUACUACAAAUCAUGUCACGACCACCCUUUGGAUAGAUUUUGACAAUAAUUAUUGUUCAACCAAUCUUGAAUGGUUCCUAGAUUAGGAAAUUUCCUAGAAUUUUACCACUUAAAUCAUGUGUUCCUAAAUUCAAUUGUAGCUUACUAGCAACUACUUCUUCAUCUUUUUUUUUUUUUUUUAAAUCUUGACGUUUUAAAAAACGUCAAGAAUUAAAUAGAUAUUACUUCAUGUUUUCAAAACACCAAGGAAAAAUACAUAUUAAUUGACGUUUAAAAAAUGUCAAGAAAGCUGAAAAAUUGCCUACAUCUGUCGUUUCAUAAAAAAUCUUGACAUUUUAAAAUGUCAAGAAAGCCAAACAGUUGUAGGAUGGGUUUAUAAAAAUGUCAACAAUAAAUAAAUAUAUAUAUAUAUAUAUAUAUAUAUAUAUAUAAACUCUUAAUCCAAUUAUCGUUUAUAAAAAUAAAAUGUAAAUAAAUAAAUCAGUAAGUAAGUAAAUAAAAGAAAUAAAUAUAAAAAGUAUGGUAUAUACAAUUUGAAUGAUUUUUUAUCUCAUACUUUGAAAUUUUAAUUUAAAUCUUAAAAUUAUAUUUAUACAUAUGGCGAUCCUCUUUUAAUACUUUUUUUUAAAAAAAUCUUUAAUUUUUUCAUUAUUUUUAAAAUAUUCAUCCAUUAAUUAUAAAAGUUAUUUAUUUAUUUUGAUUUUUAGGGGAAUCUUACAUUUUAUGACUUAUGUACGUCGGAUGUCCAUACAUAUGUACCAUAAUGUAAUUAUGUACAAAGGUUGAAUUGGAUUAUUACACAAUGUUCCACCUUAAUUUCUCUUUUACUCUCACAAUCUCACUUAUAAUAAACUCUAUAAAUAUGAGUUUUUCGUCCUUCUUAUAUUAAACACAUUCUCAUUUUAAUAAAAUAUUCACAAACUCAAUUCUUAAUAAAUUAUUCUCGAGGCUAAUUAAGGCUAUAUCACUGUACUGCAACUUGCUGUGAGAAUAUAACGCAGGCAAGAGCUUAAUGAUAAUCAAAUUGGCCACUAUGUAUUCUUGAUGAUUCUUCAACUAAUUUUGUUUUCGUUUUUUUAGAAGGCUUAUGAGGUAAAUAGGGUAAUGUGUUUUUUCAUUUACUAGUUUCAAUAUAUAUAUAUAAAAAAAAAUCUCUUUUAAAAAAUAAAAAAAUAUAAGAUUUUUACUUUAUUAAAUAGAGUAAAAAAUGGAAGAUUAUUUUAAAUUAUAAAUUUUUAAAAAAUAUCGUAACGAUAGACUAUGAUAAACCAAAAUAAAUUGUCUUAGUAAGCUACAAAUUUAUGUAUUUUGGUCUAUCACAGUUCAUAGUAGAUAAACGGUGACAUUUUGUAUAUUUUCUAAAUAUUUUGAUUCAUUUUGCUACAAUUAAAAAUAGAUGCUACAAAAUUCAGAAAUUAUUUAGUAUUUAUUUAUUAGAAAAACAGUAGCAAGUGAAUGAUGGUGGUUAUGUUAUUAAUUAUUAUUGUUAAAACAAUUAUAAUUAUGUUAUCUUAGUUGAAUUCAUGUUGUCACCCCCAUAAAAGACACACAUGAUAACAAAAUUUCAACUAUAUUAGCUUAGCUAACAAGAGGAAGAAAUUUGCAUUUCAAAAGAGAAACAAAAGGAAAGAAAGUUGUAUAUGUGGAUAUAAAAAGUUGGGUGAAAUUUUAAUAAAUGAAAAAUAUAGAGAAGAAUCCAAUGUUCCUCCUAACUCCCACAUUGACUAUUCAAGGUGAAAUGAUGUCAAUUUUGAAGACCUUAUUGGAUAUUUUUAUUUCUUUUACCAUUGAGAAUUGAAUUAAAUAGUUAAAUACUUUCUGCCACUUAACCAUCAUAUCCUAUCCCUAUAUGUGUUGUUAGUUGCAUUCAAAACUUAAAUUGAAAUGUGGCUAAAAUGAGUUUAGAGAGAGAUGAGCAUGGCAUAAAUGGUUCAUAAGAGGUUGAAUAAUUUCAUUUUAAUUUCACUUAAAAUGUCCAAAGAUUCCAAAUUUAUAUGAGGAAUUUUGAAAGAAUGAAAAGGGUAAGUUCUUUUUUUCUUUUUUAAUGUUUUAGAGGUGGAAAUAGUGGUUUAGAAUAUAAUUAGUAGCACUUGCUAAAAAAAGCCUACUACUUCUCUUAAUAAUUCGGGUAUUUUUUAAUAUAGCAAGAUAAAUCAAAUUAUUUAUUAAUAUAACCAAAAUUUUAUCAUCUAUCAACGAUAUAUAGUAGUGAUAGACACGAAUUAAAGUCUAUUAGUAUCAUUAUUAUCUACCACUGAAAAAUUAUAAGGGUCUAUUGUUAUUUAUCAUUUGUAAACAGUAAUUUUAACAAUUUUAUCGUUUAAAACGGUUGGUUUUGAAAACUAUGAAAACCUUGUGAAAAUAUACUUUAAAAUAGAUUUUGAACAUAUUUUAAAUUGCUUGAAAAAGAAUAUUUCAUGAAAUAAGGUUGUAUAUAUAUAUAUUUAGAAAUAUAGAAUGUUUUGGACAUUAUUGUAAUAUUACAAUUUUUAGUGAAUGCAAGUUUAUGUACGUAAAGUAAUAAAAUGCAAAGAUUUUCCCCAACGGCUUGUGAACUUGAAGAAUUUCUUUUGACUAUAUAUCUUUGUAAUUACCAAAAUCUAUUUGAUCUCUUCACUUAAUUAAAAUAUUGAAAAUUUCUAAAUGAUUUGGUAUCUAUCAAUUCUCUAUAUCUCUACCAAAGAAUAAUGUAAAUCAUCUCUUGCAAUCCAAGUAAAAUAAUUGAAACUAAGGAAAUAGCCAAAGUUUGAUUGAAUAUAUGUAUCCAUCUUUCAAUUCAUGUUCAACUAACUUUAAAUUAAUUCUCUUUUAAGAAAUACAUAGGUUUUGAAAUAUGUGCAAUAAAAAUUUAAGAUAUGGCAACCUAUUUCGUUCAUUCCACUAUUUUGUACUAAUUUAGGUGGAUAUUGUAUACUUCUAGAUAGGCAUAUAAGUUGACGUUGAGUGAAUUUGCACUAUAAAUAUAUGGAUAUAUAUUGAUUCGAUUUCCAUAAAUAUUGCUUAAAUAGAAAACUUAGGUGUCACUGUUAAUAAUAGUAUGGAUUAUCAAAUUUAUAAUUUAAACUAAGACAUUUUUAGAGGAAAGAUUUGUUCUUGAAAAUUUGUUCUUGUAGUUAUGAGAAUUCCUCAAGGGGAUGAUGAAUAGUUGAAGAAAGAGGCUACUAGGAUGUUCUUUACCCCGUCAAAAAAUCAAUCGUGGACCAAAGUAGAAGCCACGAACGAUUGUGCAUUGUCCGAAAAAUUAGAAUUUGUCAAUGCAAGCGCAUAUGCGUAUUACUUCAAUUGAAGCAACAUUUCACAACACUUUUCUAUGAAACAAUUAAAAUUCUAUGUAUAUUAAAAUCGGUUGAAAAAACAUUAGACAGUUUAAGGAUAGGGACUAACACAUUUUUAUCUGAUUUAGUAACUAUUUAAGGACGGCAAUGCUCUACUUUUUCAAAAGAAAACUACGAGGAAUAUAUAUAUACCCUCACACACAUACAUAUAUAUAUUUAUAUCAAAAACUCCCCUUUUGUGAAGUUUAUCAACAAUAACAAAGAUUGAGCUAUAACUAGAACUCCACCUAUUUUAUCUACUUACAUUAAGCAUGUUUCAAUUAAAAAUAGAUUAUGAAUAAACCCUACUUUCCAAGCAUACACAUGUACAAAUUAUGAUUUUAGAUGUCUAUUUCGUCACACCAAUUGAACAUAUAAUGCAUUCAAGCAAACAUAUUCUAUUGCACAUAGAUUGAAGCAAAUAAUAGGAAAAAAGAAUAAUAACAAUAGUAAAACUCAUUAUUUUUAUCAAAAUCUCACCAAAUUUAUAAACAAAAUGUCCAACAAACUUAUAGAUAGUCAUUUCGAGCCUAAUCAAUUAUUGAACUAGCUCAAAUUUCGAUGCCAAAAAUCUUCAAAUACAAGGAAGAAACAAAACAAUCUUACAGGUUUUGACCAAAAUUGAACCUUUAUUUUCGAGAUUACCUCCACCUCUAAAAUCCUUAAAAUGAAGAACAUAUAUAUAUAUAGAUAGAUAUCCACAAGAACGUUGCACCAUUUGUGCAGAUUAGCAUUAUGCAAAAAAACAAAAACCUUGGGUGCUGCAACACAAAAUGCUUCAGAAAACUAUGUAGUGUCGUAGUGUUAUGGCUUAGGUGCUCUCUCGACCUCCAGGCGUUGUGUUAAAACAACAUGUGGUAUCAACCCAAACAGAGUUUUGAAGCCUUGGAUACUUGAUUUAACCUCCUAGAACUUCCAAAUUAACCUUGAAUAAUUUUCCAUAAUCUUCUUGAUUUCAUAUAGUGCUCGAAUUUCCACAAAUACAAACAUACAAAUUCAUUAAAUCUAAACAAAUAAGAUUAAAGGCAGUUUGAUAGCUCAGUUAGACCGGUCAGCAAUAGGAGUUUUCUCUACCUCCCAAAAUCUAAUAGAAACAUUUUUUUUUUCUUCACAAGUUCUCAACCAAAUUGGCUAACAAAUUUAAAUUUGUUUUGUCCUAAAACUUAGAAAAAAGAAAUGUCAUCUUUUAAAUCAUACAACUUACCCUCCUCGACCCGAUUGGCUGCUCACAUUGCAAAAUACAUUGUUCUCGCUCAUUUUUAUUUAAAAUUCAACUCUCUAAUUUCUUUCACUUUAAUUCUUUAACUAAUUCUUAUCUCAAAUAACAAAUUAGGUCAUUAAAUUUCAUGAAAUAAAAUUUUAAUGUUACUCCAAAUCCUUGAAAUCUUUUACCAUAACCACAUGUAAUCAAGAAAAGCCACGAAACACACACUUCAAAAUCAGCAUAAAAUAAGAACAUCUAAAGCUUAUGGGUAACUUUUGGACUCUGUGAAAUAAGCUAAAUGCUAAGAAAACACACUAUAGAAGUGAAUCUAAGCUCAAACAAGUCUAAUGCCACAGCAUCAAUCAACUCCAAUCCUAACCCAUUCAUAAUUUUUUUAAAAAAAGUUGAUAUUAUAAUUCAUGAUAAGAGAAAAAAAGAGAGAAACCCUAUAUCAUUCCCCAUGUAUACAUCAUUACCACCAUGUGAGGAGAUUUGGAGUUCUAGCACCUUCUUCAUUUAUAUAGUUUUCUUUUCAUCCUCGACUCUAGCAACAAAACUUUUUUCUUAUUUUAAACGUAACAUCUUUUCUAAAUUACAAAAUUUAUAAUUUGAGAUACGUGAUGAUCACGUGUGUUAUCUUUUGCAUGCAUUUUCACACUAAACAAAAACAAAUAUUAAAUUAAUGCAACAACUCAACUUUUAAAACAAUGAUAAAACGUAAAAUUAUAUUUAAUUUUCUCAGUACCCCAGGAAAAAAAAGUAAAGUAAACAUAAGAUACCACAAUAAUAUUCAAUUUCUAACAUAUUUGAAAACAUGGAAGGAUGGAAAUAUGAAAGACACGAUCUAAUAAAUAUUGUAGAAUUAAGUUUUAAAAAAAAAUAUAUAGAACGAAGAACAAGGGCUAUAUCUUUGAAUAUGGAGAAGAAAAGAGAGAGGAUAUUGUAAUAAAACAAAAGGAUCAUCCUUUACCAUUUUAAAACACAUGUGGAGAUUUAAAAAAAAAAUUAAAACAUGUGGGUUUUGAUGUUGGGUGAUAUAGUCAUGAAUAUAGUAAUUAAAUUCAAAAUAUUAAUAUAUAUAACACCAUAUAAAAUUAUAAAUAUAUAUAAAAAAAUCUAUCAAUAAUUAUUGAAAUAUAUAGUUGCAAAUAUAGCUAUUAGAUUCAAAAUAAUUGAGUAUAUAGCAACAUUUUCAAAGAAAUUAUAGAUAAAGUAAAAGUAAUUUAACAUAAAGAAUAAUUUUUCUAAAUUAAAAUUAAACUACACAUGAUUUUGUUUUAUGAAAUUUAAGAUGGAGAAGUUAUAAUAAUAUAUCAAUGGGCACAUGGGUUUUAUAUAAUAUGAAAGAAUGAGGUAACUGUUAGAUUAAAUUUACAUCAUGUGCAUUUCAUAUACAAUUUGUAGAAAAGUAAUUGUUAUCUUUUUGACAUUAUAGUAAGAACACAAAUAAUAAUAGUAGUAGUAAUAAUAAUAAUAAUUAGAAUAUAUAUUAAAGUUUGAAAAAGUGGUUAGCGAAAUUAAAGUGCGUUAGAAUUAGGUAGGCUCCGACCAAAGAAAAAGAAUACUAAUUUUUUUUCUUUUUUGCGUAUACCAAUGAAUAAUGAUCAAAAUCUUACAAAAACAAACCUACCCUUUGUGGUUCGUGGAAUUUCAAUUACUGACGUCUCCCAUUUUUCAUAUUUUAGUACUACGGGUUUUGUACCAUUUCAUUCCCUCCAAAUUUAAUACCUUAAUUCAACUCUUCUUCUUUUCAAUAAUUAUAGUUUUAUUUACAUAGAAUGUUUGAUACUAUAUUAAAUUAAAUUAACCAAUUAUUUACAUAUACCUAACUUCUAUCACAAGAAAGCAGGCUUUAUCUUUUUUCUUUUCUCUUCUUUUCAAUGUUCAAAUUGGAUAAUGAGAGAAAAAGAAAUUUGAAAACCUUAGAUGACUUAAUUGUUCCUCCCCUCAAUUUCUUUUACUCCACUAAAUAAUGUAUAUAUUAUCAUGUCUAUUGUUUUAAUUUAUCCUAAACCAGUUUGGAAAGAUGUUAAUAUUUAUAAAUUUUUUCUUAUAUCGAGCCUUAAAUGUUACAAAAAUCUGUUUGAUUAUUUACUUAACAUUUUGAUUAAUGGACUACACCUAAGAUGACUAUUAUCCAAGUCUUUUUCUUUUUUUUUUUUUGUUUUUCAAAAAGGCAUUACCAAAGAAAGUUCAUUUAAAAUGAGACUUAAUUUCAAAUUUCAAUCCCCUUUUUAUACAAAGUCAUACAUAAUUACAUGUUUGGAAGUUAUCCCAAAUGAUAAACAAAUCCCAUGAUAGGAAACCAACUAGUCAAAACAGUAUGGACAAAAUUAACCAAAAGCUUCAAAAUGUCAAACCACUUUUUUCCCCAUCUAAACACCUACCCUUCCACUCUAUAAAAACACCCCAUUUUCUUAUCAUAUAAUAAACUCAUGUUUGAUAUUCCGAUCGAAGGUAAUUAGGCUUCUUCUUAGCUUCAUCAUCUAUUCUAGGUCAUCUCACGAUGUCAGGAUCGCCAACGCCUGAGGAGAACGGAGUAAAGAAGGGGCCAUGGACGCCAGAGGAAGAUCGGAAACUUGUGGAUUAUAUUGAGAAACAUGGGCAUGGAAGUUGGAGAGCUCUUCCAAAACUUGCUGGUUUGAAUAGGUGUGGCAAGAGUUGUAGAUUAAGGUGGACUAAUUAUCUUAGACCUGAUAUCAAAAGAGGAAACUUCUCUGAUCAAGAGGAACAAAUUAUCAUCAACCUACAUGCUUCUCUUGGAAAUAAGUAAGUUUUUUCUUAAUUUACUUUAUGCAUAUAAUAACACAAAUGAUCUAAUUUAUUGUUGUGCAUACUAAAAAGUAUAAUUUAAACACAUCAAUUUGUUGGAGUUGGUUUUCAACUACUCUUAAUAUUUUAAAAAUAGGCUUGAACAGAUAUAUAUUAUUUAUCUAUUUGGGUUUUAAUCAAUUGCCUGUGUUUUUCUUUUCUUUAUUUUAGUUCAUAAAUUAGUUUAUUUUACACUUUUUAACCCCCUAAUUUUAAAGAAUUAUUUUAUUUAAAUGAACCCUCACUUAACCUUUUUUAUUUAGAGUGGAAAAUAUAUAUAUAUAUAUAUAUUUUUUUAUUGGGACAUAUUCAUUAAGUAGAUGAAAAAAGAAACAAAUGAAAGUUUUUUUGCUUUUAAUUAUAGAAAAUUAUUGAAAACCCUAAAAUGGUGUUUUUUACUUUUUAUUUUAUACAAAGUCGCACAUACUUUAGAAAGUUCAGGCAGCAAAAUUAGGCAAACAUCGAAGCUAAUUAAAUUUUGAGAAGUUUUUAGUUUUAUUUGUUUGUUUGUUUUUUAGAUGGUCGAUAAUAGCGAGUCAUCUACCGGGAAGAACGGAUAAUGAAAUUAAGAACUUUUGGAACACUCACUUGAAGAAAAAGCUUCUCCAAAUGGGCAUCGAUCCAGUCACCCACAUGCCUAUAACUGAUCGUCAUCAUCUCAACACUCUCUCAAAUCUUCAUCACUUGCUUUCUCUUCACACAUCUCCUUGGGACAAUCCAUUAAGACUACAAAAUGAUGCCACUCAACUAGCAAAAGCUCAACUUCUCCAAAAUCUUCUGCAACUUCUAGCCUCUCAAUCUUCUCUAUCCAUUUCCAAUAAUAACCUCUUCAACACACAACAAAUCUUAGACCUAAAUUAUAAUCUUCCCAUUGGAUCCUUUUUCCAAAACAUCCCAAUCAACAUAGAGCCACCACAGGGGCCACUAUCAUGUGAUGACUAUACAGCAGCCACGGAUGGUGCGUUAGGGUUCGAAAAUGAUAACGAUCGAAUAAAGACUUUUUAUGAUAUGAAUCAAAGGUUAAAUUCACUUCCCAACUUGAUUCCAGCUUCUCCUGAAUGCUCAAAAAUUCCAACCGCCAUAGAAAAUAAUUGGGACGAUGAUCUUAUGGAUGUGGAAGCUUCAGAUUCUUCGUGGAAACAUGUCAUAGAGUAAGCAUUACAAAUAUGAAUAAAAAGAGAUUAAAUUUACAGUAACAUUAAGAUAUGUUUAGAAGUGAUUUUGGGAUGGUUGAAAAUUACUUUUUUCAUGUUUAAAAUCACUUAUAAACAAUACUUAUACUAAAUAGUUUCAACUUAGGAGUUCUAAAUUAUAUAACAUUUAAACGAAGUUCAUUUAGGUUAACAUUUUGCUUUGUUUUUUAACAGCCAAACUCCUCCGUCAUGGACGGUCUCAUAGAGGUUCAGUACCGGAUGCCAUUUCUUAACAAAUCGUGAAGAUAUGUGAAGAGUCAUUUUUUACGUUUUCUUUGUAAAUGAAUAGAUUCGUUUGAGCUUUUAAUCAUCGUGUAUGAUUCUUAUAUAAAUAAUUUGGAAUCAAGACGUUAAUUAAUAUUUCAUCUCGUACAUUUUUGCUUAGCAACGAUUGACUACAUUUUAUCCAGCAAACUUUGCUCAUUAACUACAAAGAGAUUUUUUAAUUAAUUAAUCUACGACGGAAUAAGUUUAUUUAGAAUCAUAAUCAAAAGUUUACAACAUGGGAGGAAAAGAUAGUUUGAAAACAGCUAGCUUGUCUCUGUAUUUUAAAAUUUGGCUUCUAUUUCAAAGGUAUAUAAUUUUCUAGAAGGAGAAAUGAAUAAAAUAAAUAAAUUGAUAAAAGAAAAAUGAUUAUAAAAGAUAAAAUUGUUGAAAAUAUAGCAAAACUUUUCAAUAUCUAUAAGUGUCUCGUUAAUAGAAAUUGAGAUUUUAAGUCAACAUGAGCUUAGCUCAACUAACACAUGUAUGUUCCUGUGGACAAAGGUCUCAGAUUCAAAUCUCCACCCAACAUUUAAUAUAUUUUAGUUCAAAGUAUAUUAGACAAUUUAAUUACUUUUAUCAACUAGAAACACACAUUAUUAUAUAUUAUAAUGAAAUGGGAAUAUAACUAUAAAAUUGAUCAACUAAUUUCAAUUCGUUUGACUAUAAAAAUGUAAUAAAACUUUUUAAUUAAUAAUUAUAUCAAUUCUAAAACCAAAUUCAAAUUAAUAAAAUAUUAUAUCAAAUUUGAAUUCAUAUUAGUAACGAAAGUAAAUGAAUCCAUACCCUUGGUUUAAUAACUACUCAAUUUCACACUAAUUUCCAUUUUAAAUCAACUCAAAAUCCAUCUAUAAAACCACAUUCUCCCAAAAACCUACAAAAGAGCUAAAAAGAAAUUUUUUGGUAAAUAAGUUCAUGAAAAAAAAGAUGGAAGAUGAAAUUUCAUAUACAAAAUAAAAAACUUCUAAUAUUACUUAUACUCAUCUAUCAUUAUAUGCUAAUCCUAAUCUCUCGAAACAAAUGCGAAAAUUAAUUAUUAAGAUUCUACUAAUACAGGUUAGUACACCAAAAUCAUUAAAAUUAAAUAAAAUCGUAUAGACAAAAACCAUGACUCAAAUCGAUUUACAUAUCUCAACCAUAAAUGACAUAUAUUUUUUAUUUUAUACAUAUUUAUUGCAGUAGAAAAACUCAAAGCUAUCUCAUCACUACUUUUAUGUUACUUAACUGAAAUGUAAAUAAUAGUAGAAAUGGCCAUUUCUCAAUUGUAUCCAAAUACAAUAGAUAAAUAGAAAAAGAAUUAGUUAUGGCAAAUGGGUAUUAAAAAAGAAUUGUAUAUAAUAUUAAUUAUUGUUAUCUAAACUUUACUUUGGGCUUACAUUAUUUUAAUAAGAAGAAAAAUGACCAUGUAGUAGAAACAAAUAAAAAAUAGAAAAACCAAUUUAAAGUCUACGAGCUGCUAAUUAAUAUAAUGCAUAACAUAAUUAUUUAAUUUGACCUAGUUAAUUAAUUAAAUGGUAUGUUAAUUAUAUUGUAAUGUUAAUGUGAUUGACAUAUUUGGAGUUAAAAGUUCAACAAAUAUAAUAUAUGGUUUUGAAAUUCAAACAGUUGGGGGAGUUUACUGACUAUAUAUAUAUAUAUAUAUAGUUAUUUAGUUGUUGUAUUGUGUUUAGGAGACGCAAGUGAUAAUUGAAACUUUAGAAGAAAAAAAAAUGAUGGUCUUCUAGAAGAAUGCAACAUCCAAGGUGUUGAACUUUUGAAUAAGGUACAAACUUGUGUCAAAUUUCCCUACCAUGUUGCCUCUUAAAAUCCAAAAACAUAUGUGGUGUAGGUCAGAUUUGAAAACGUUUUCGUUGCGUAGCUAAGAACUACUACGGUCUUGAAAGCAAUUUUGAUACAAUUUUUAAAAUGGAAUUGUAUACGCAUACGUUAGUUGUUUCUAAAGCUAAUACAACCUUUUUGAAUGUGCACAUUUGUUAAAUCAAUCACAAUAGUUUUGUCAUGUCGUAAAGAGUCACCGGUUUGAAAGCGAGUUUAACUAAUUUUUAGAGUUAAAUCGUCUAUGCAUUAGCUAUUUCCAAGUUACUACAACAAUUUUCUUGAAUAUAUGUGAACUUGUUUACAAAAUAUUGUAAUUUAUAGAGAUGAUGCACACCUUUACUCUUAGCAAUUUAUUUCAUUAAGAAAGUUGAUGUGUAAUGAUUUCACAAUCUGAAAUGCUCAGAAAACAACUAACAAAAAGUGCUACUAUUCAACAAAUCGUAACGACCCAUGUAAUUCAACUAGUAAAGAAAAUAGAACAUCAAUGAAGAUAAGUGUACUCAUUUAUAUAUGAAAAAUUGUAUCAAAUGACAAAAAUAUUUAUAGAAAAAACUGCUUAUGACACCUUUUUUUUUUUUUUGCAUAUUGUGCGAAUAUGGCAAAAUUAAUGAUAUAAGACGGUAAUUAUAGAGUUAUCAAACAGUGAUCAUAGGGUUAUCGACUUUUAAAUUUGCUACUUUUGCAAUUUAGAAAAUGUAGUGACAUGAACCCUAUUAUUAUAAUUUUUAUUUGCUAUUUUUGCAAGACCCCUUUACCCUCGUUAUCAUUUCAAUUUCCAAAAUCGUUUGUUUGCACUUAUAAUAUCAACAAAUGUAAAUGAAUUUAAUUUAUAGAAACAUUGACAAACUAUUUACACUCUAUAUAACAAAACCACUAAAAGAUAUAAAUUAUUACACUAUGUAAAUAUUUUGUCAAAUGUUCUAACUUGACAAAAUGCAAUACAAUACUUUUGACUUUGCAUUUUAAUUAUCAUGAUGUACUCACUUUUGUGGUUAGUACUAUCAAUAAUUAAGUUAAAAGAAUUAUAAUUAAUUAAUUUUCAUUAUUUCUCAUCUUUUAUUAAAAUAAAAUUUAUAAUUAUUUAAUCUUAUAUAUAUAUACAUAUAUAUUACAUAAAUGUAGGGGAGAAAAGAAAAGAAAAAAAAACAAACAAGAGAUGAGCAUAUAGAAAUUAUACAUUUACGUGUAAGUAAAAUUUAAAAAGAAUAUUUUGGGGAUUUUCCUUUUUAACGGUUUCUUUCUUUUCUAAAUAGGUUUCUUCUCAUUAGAGGACUUUCAAUAUGAAGUAAUUGUGGAUAUGAAAGGUGUUUGAUUAUGCAAAAAGUGAAAUUAAAAAUAAUGAAACCAUGCUUUAAUUAACAAUAAUAAUGUUCUAAUUUCAUAUGAUAAAAAGUCAAUAGUCGUUGUUAACUAUUAGGUAAGACUAUUUUUCCAUCAUUUGGUUAAUCUAUAUAUUAUUAUGGAUUCAAUCAACAUCUAAUUUCUCUAACAAGUUAAGUGAGAUUCUUAUAAGCAACUUCUUUGCUUCUCUCUCUCUAGAACAUGAAAAGGACUUAGUUGGUAUACUUAUAUAAAAUGGUUGAAAUCAAAAUGAAUCCUUCUUCUAAAAGCUUUUUCUUAUUUAUUUAUUAAAUCUUAAUGAAUAUGAACUAUUUUGUUAAUAGAUCCAUUAAUUAUCUAAUACACAACUAAACUUGUCAUGCACAAUGUUAUAAUAUUGAACCGAAUAACUAUUAGUAGAACACCUAUAAAAAUAUUAAAACAUAGAACAAGGUUUGAUAACCUAGUUUAAUGCAAUACUACCUAAUACCUAUGCUUGGAGGGUAGUGUGUGUCAAAUAAUGUGAUUUUUACUAAUCUAAAGUCAAUUUAAAUAACAAAAAUUAAAGUGACACGCGAAUGGUCUAACUUAGUAAAUGAUCACUUUAGACUCUCCCUAAGUGUGAGACUCCCUCUCCAUAUUUAGGUUCCCUAAGAGUGAGAAUUUCUUUCAACAAAGAUAUUUAUUUUUCCACCUUCAAAAGAAGAUCACUUCACUUGGAAAAACUUAGGCUUUGCCGUCCCAUCUCAAAUUGUAGUAUAACAACUCGAUGAAAUCUAGAGAUCAAGAUCGAUAAUAGCAAAAGGUUUCACAAUCACGAGGAUUGAUACACUUGUAUAAACUGAAUUAUGUGGGUUAUGCUAGGAUUUAUGCCCUAUAUUACUGUAGUUGAAUAGUUAUUUGAUAUUAUAUUUAAUUAUUUUAAAUAUGUGAUAUUUUGUUAUCCAUUAGGAGAAAAAUAUAAGGUUAUCUUAUGAAACUUAAAACAGAAUGUAGUGGACAUAUAGGUGGAUCAUGUUUCAAGUAAUAACCUAAAAGUUCUAUUGUCACGUCCCACACUUGCACGUAUCCUUAAUCUCGUAAUGCGGUACGCAAUGCGAUCUGAGCAGCUCUGACACCUCAAGAAGAAACACCAAAAUGCCUAACAAUUAUGGCACUUAGUCUCGAGAAUGACUUUUCUUGUGUUCAAAGGGGGAGAGUUUUGUGAUUAUGAUUAAUUUGUUAUGUAGUUAUGACUUCUGUCUUGGACUAUGGAUCAAAGGGGCAGUAUGUUUUGUCUACUAUGGUGUUACCUACGUUUUGAUGUUUUCUUGCUUCUGUGGGAGUAUGUUGUGAUUUCUGGUAUAACUUCUGUUUUGACUAUUGUCGGAUUGAUAAUUCUUAUUGAUUCCUUCUUGAUAUAAUCUUCUAGAAUACUCUACUUUUCAAGAUGGCUUGAUGAUUCUUGUUGAUCCUUGAUAUAAUCUUCUGGAAGACUCUGGUUUUUAAGAUGGUUCUUUAUUAUUAUUAUCAUUUCUAAGGCUUCACUAUUGAUGAUAUAUUAUUAAGGGGUGUCUGGUUGAAUAUAAAAAGAAUUGUUCUCUUUUUUACAAAAAUGGGGAGUUUGUUGGAUUUUUUGUAAAAAAGAAUUAAUAAGAACAUUUUUUAUUAUCGUUGGUUAUUUUAUUUAAAAAGGGAAAAAGAAAUAUUUAUAGGAUAAAAAAUUUUCCUCUUUAUUAGAAAUCUUCAUCUAUAUUUUUUAAACAAGAAGAUCGAGAAGAUUUGUGAAGCCUUUAAAUUGUGAAGCUUUUCACAAGCAAGGAUUGCAUGUGCAUUACUCGACUUUCUAUUCGAAAACAAAAAGAAUUAUUCUUUUUUUUUUUUUUUUUUUUUUGACAAAAAUGGAGAGUUUGUUGGGUAUUUUUUUCAAAAAGAAAUAAUAAGUUUCUUUUUAUUAUUAUUAACGUGGUUAUUUAAAUAAAGGAUAUUAUUUUAAAAUAAAGACUUUUCUUGAUAAUAGGAAUCUUUUAUCUAUAUCUUUGAAUAAAGAAGUUACAGGAGAUUAUUAUGAUCUUUAAAUAACUAAGUUAUUGGUUUAGUUUGGUGCGCGCAUUGACGAAAAAUUGAUUUCGGAGAAGUUCUCUCUUGAAGAAUUAUAUUUGUGAAGGUAGUCGAAUUGUCUUCUUUAUGAAGAUGAGAUUACUGAAAUUCAGCAAGUGGUUUUUGCAUUGCAUCAGUUGAUAAGAAAUAUGAAAGAAGACUGAAAUAGUUGAACUGCAGUCAAUGAAUUCAGGGAAUCUGGGUUUAUCUUCAAGAAGAUUCAAACACAAAUUCAGGGGAGCUCGUCUUUGAUUAAGUUUUUUUAUAACUUAAGAAUGUUGUUGCUUGCUCAUUUGAUUCUUAAUAAUAUUUCUUAUAUGAGCUAAGAAGCUUCCCAUACAUAGAUGGUAUUCGUUGAACCGAGUUAACAAAGCCUUAUGUGUUAUUUGUUAUUUCUGUUUCUUUAUAUGUUCUCUUAGCUAAUUACUUUCGAUAUAGCUAGAGAAUAUUAUUGAUCGUCUCACUUAUUUUCACCGUCAAACGUACAUAGUCAUAGCUGUAACAAUUCAACUUCUUAUACUAAGCUGAAUGUCAUUACUACUAAAAUAAAUAACAAUUUUUUUCAUUUAAAUGAAAAGGAGGAAACCAAGUUCUUAAAUAAAGAAUUCAAAUACCCACUUAUAACUCAUAAUUUGGAAAAAUAGAAACAAAACUAGAAGAUAAAAUCCUAGUUUGAGUCAUAUCUAACUUUUAAAGAAACAUAACAUAAAAGUAAUUCAUAAGUUCGGUAAAUUUAAAUAAAAAUGGAAGGCGGAAGCAACAUAAAAUUUUUCUUAUGGAAAUUCAUGGUUACUUCUUGUCAUUUGUCAACUUUUCUCUACCUUUGUCUCUUCCUAAAAAAUUAAACAUAAAAAGAGUGAUUAAAAUCAUAUACUCAAUGAAGGACUCACUACUAGUUUUGUUAGGUAUCUAUUGACUUCCCAUUAAGAUUCCAUAAGGAAGUACACCAAAACUAUCGCGCUCUCGAACACACAUAAUCUAAUGAACUCGUAGGAACACAUUUGGUUUAUCGGUGAACCCAAAGGAACACCUAAAAGAAUCCGACUGUAAGUGAUUCCGUCGGACCAUUCAUAAAACAUAUCAUGGCAGACUGGUGGUCCCAUAUCGAACUCACACAAUCAUAAAUCUGUGAAAGGUAGUGAUCUCGAAGAACACCCAUAUAGGUACAAACCUAAUAGACAAAGUUAACAGAACACCCAUCCAUAGCAUGUAGCAUAUCAUAACAGGACAUGAAUAUCAAUCAUAAUGUCCUUAUCAUGUGAUUUAUAUAUCAUUCAUCAUAACAUAUAUGUCAUCCAUAUUAGUCAUCAACAUCAAUCACCAAAAUCAGUACAUUAUGCAUCUUAACUACACCAAUGCAUAAUGAAAAAUAUAUGCAAGCUCUUAAUUUUAUGUUCGAAGGUCUAGUAGUAGAAUCUCUUACCUGAGAGAUUAGCCAAACAAAAUGCUCCCUAGUAGUAGAUUCUCUUGCCAAACCAAUGGCUACCUUUCAUAAAUUAUUAGUAACUCAUAACUAAGCUAACAAUUAUCUAUCACAAUUAUUAUAGUAACCCAUAGGCUAUGCAAACAUUUAUUACAAUAAUAGAGAGUGUUAGCCUAAUCCCAAUUUUCCAUUCUUUAUCCAUAUGAGACAACGAUAUGGAGUGCAGGCAGACCAUGCACUUCUCGAAUAUAUAAUAAGAUGGAAAUGAGGGACACAACGAUUCCCUCACGUUGCACUUCUUGCAGACAAGAGGGACAUAAUUGACGAAAAUGUCCCAAACGAGGUGGAAAUGAGGUAUAGUUAAUGUAACCUCGACCUAAUUUCUAUUGUUAUUUGAAUGACCAUAUAUGCAUGAAAUUAAUUGUGUUCUUAAUCAUUGACGUCCGUUAUUUGCUAUAACAUAUAACUAUAGACAUUGUUAUUAAAUAAAUUGAGAAGAAAAAUAUGCUAAUAAAAUAAAAUUAAAAAAAUUGUCAAAAAUAUUACAAAAACUCGGAGGUACAUAAUAAAAAAAAAUAUAAUUAAUUACAUAAUUAUUAAUAUAAAAGUAAAUAUGAAUUUGCAAAAAAUUUAAAAAAAUCAUUAAAUAUAUAAUGAUUAAGAAAUCAUUUUUUUUUGUCCUUUUGUUAAUCAUCACUUCAAAUUUAAUCAACAUUAAACAUAUAAAAUAAUUAUUAUUAUUAUAAUUACACUACAUUCCAAAAAAAAAAAACUAACUCUUUUACCCAAUUUAUUUUAUAAAUUACCCUAUUUUUCCAAAAGAUCCCUAAAUAUUGGUAGAGAGUUUGUCAUUUGAGUAUUGAGAUUGUCUGUGAUCGAAGUGCUCACUACAAGAAAUCUAUUAUUCAAUGAUAAACACUACUACAAAUUUCGACUUGUUUAAUGUGAAAAAAAUGUAUACCUUAAUGGUAUUUGUCCAUCAAGUAAGCAGGCUUCAAGAAAGCUCGACCAUUAAGAAAAUUGAUUUUCUUGAUGGUCAAAAAAUAUCAUCAAAAACUCUUUUUUGAUAGCUAAGGAGACUUGGUUGUUUUUUUUCAUUACCAAAACUGAAAAGUCUAUUAAAAAAAUCAUCAUUUUCUUUGAUGUUUUUUUCCCACAAAGAAAAGUGAAUAGUCCAUCAAGUUUACUUAAUGGCCAAAACUUGAAUUCUUCUUUUACUUUCUCACACCCACCAUCUUCAUGAUCCUGAUCCUACUUAAUGAUUCUUGUACUAAGAAUUGUAACGUUGAAAUGCAAAUUUAUAAACAGUGCAGGGUGAGAAUUUGAACUUGUGACCUCUUGUUCACAAGUACAUAUAGGUGCUAGUUGAGCUAAUUAGCUGACGUGUUGUCCAACUUCUACAACUUCUACAAAUUUUAAAAACCCUAAAAUACAACUUUAGUUACGUGGUCUAUUAUUGUAGAAAAAAAUGAGUGGUGUGCUAAAUCAAUUUUCAUUACCAUUUUUAUAAUCUUUUACUUGAAAUUGAGUAAAAAAGAACUCCUUCUUCUAUCCUUCAACCAUCUUGGAGAGAUCACAUUAUAUUAAAAUUCACCAUUAUUUUCCAAAUAUCUAAAUACUUCAUAACAAUAUGACAGUCAAAAUUAGGGUUUCUAGGUUUGAAACAUAUACUCUCUUGGUUAAGGCGAGAAAAAAAGGGUACUUUUGUUUUUAGACCAUUAAAAUAAUUUGUGAUUCCAUGUUUUGAAUGAUGUGAUAUAUAUAUUGAUUUUUGCACUCUUUAAUAAUGGUAAAAUAUGAGAUAUGACUUACAUUUAUUUUAAAAAUUGGGAAGCAUAAUCAACCUUGUUUAAUCAAAGAACUUCAUGAAUUUAAUCAGUAGGUAUCUUGUUGACCUUUAAAUCUAACUAACCCACACCUACUUCGCCAAGUUCGUUUUUGAUUGUAAUAUAUGAUUAUUUUCCUCAACUCUCUAGGUAUGUAUUAAUGUAAACCAUGUUUGUCUUAUAUUGACAACAUCUAUUCUUCUUUCUUUAAUCUAUUGAAGAAAAAUUAGAUUGUCCAACCUUUCCUACUUAACAAACACGCAAUAGGAAACUUCUUAUAGAUGUAUAAACUUUUUGUUUUCAUUUCUUUUUCUAUCUAUAGUUUUUCUAUUGAAACUUUUGACUAAAUAGAAACGUAAAAUUGUGUCGUUUUUUGAUAUAUAAGUAGGGGAAUAUUGUGUCUUUUUAUUAUUAUUAUAAAAAUUGCAAUGAGUAGCAAAUCAAGAAUAGAAUAUUUCAUUGCGUAGAUAUUAUACUUUUUAGUGUAUGAAACCUAUAUAGUAUAUAUCAAGGGUAUUGUAUCAGUUGUAUACAAUCAAGUAUAUACCAUUAUGUGUAUCCUCGACAUUGAGGUUACGUUUUCACCAUUUUCACAAAAGCAAUAAGUGUUGAGGGUUUGAGUUUUGAAACUAAUUUUUAAAACUUAUUUUAUCAAAUCCGCAUAAGCCUUUUUGUUAUUAUAUUAGCAAAACCAAAAAACUAAAAUCGCAACAACUUAAACUCAUAAUGAAUAAUAGCAUAUACCAUUGUGAAAAAAAAUAUAUCAAUUUAUUCCUCAACAAUACAUUUGAUGAAAGGAUUAUUUUUGCACCACCAACAAACUUUGGACUGAUCAUAUCAAGCAUGUAUUGGUAUUUAUAGCUUUUGGACUUGCCAAAUAUUUUAACGUGGGACAAACACUCCCACUUCUAUUGGAAAAACUACCAUCGGUGAAAAAGCUACCAAUGCCUAUUUAAUAACUUGUUUUCAUUUUCAUUUAAUUUUUUUAGUCAAUCCAGACGAUAGUGUAAUGAAUAUAAUGAAUAUGCCAAAGUUAUCCAAUACAAGAAGACGAUCUCUCUAUGUUUAUAGAGAAUUGAAAAACAAACUAAUGGUAAUCCUAAUUAAUAAAAGAAACUAAUCCUACCAUGGUGUGAAUUCUUAGGAAAAGAAAAGGAGCCCCAAACCUUCACGUUAAAGCAACCCUAAGUUUCCAAUUUGGACAGGAACCUAAAAAGAAAAAGAAAAAGAAGAACUUUAUGCCAAAGUUGGUUAUGGAACACUCAAGAAUUCUAAGUACAAAAUUAAGAUCAAGCUCUACAAACCUAUAAUAAUGCAUUAAUAAUUACCUCAAUUUUACCUUUUUCCUCUUAGAAUUAGAAUAAAAUGGUUUUUUUAAUACAUACAUUAGGAUUACAUCUAAUUGGAGUUAGUACCUGAACAUCUUUAAGCAAGAAUCCACCUUAUCUAACCUGUCUUCUCUCAUCCUUUCUUUAUUUUCGUAUGUACACAUUAGUCCCAUUCUCAUCUUAAAAUUGAUGGUUCCCAAGUUGAGAGUAUCAUUUUCUAGAGCACAAAAUUUUACAAAGAAACAAGAAAGUUUGAAAAAUUAUAACAAAAUAACUAUAUCAUGCAUGAUUUGCUUAACAUAAAGACUUCAACAAACGCCUACAGAUUUUCAAUAUAACAAUAAAAAGUUUUGAAGUAAAACUAAAAUCGAAGUUUGUGACUUGAUCCAAUUUUUGCAGAAAGAUUUAUGUUCAUAAAUGUUCCAAGAUGCAUUAAUACUUUGUAACUAUAUUUUGGCAACGUUGAACAUUUUAAAAUGUCAUCGUUUUUGUUGUAUAUAUAUAAAAUGAUAUAAUAUAAAAUUAAAAUACUUGGCGCUGUAUUAUGUCAAAUAUACCUUUGAAAUUUAUUCCCAAUUAUUGUUUAUGAGGGCAACAAUUUUCUAUUUCUUUUAUAAAAAAAAAUAAUAAAUAAAACAAUCCUUAUGUUGGUUUAGAAUAAACAAAUUGUUAUUUUCUAAGUUCGUAACCAUAAGAGAAUUCCUUUAUAUUAAAUAUUAUUCUUUUCUAUACAUAUAUAUAUUUUUAAAAAAUGUUAAUAGUAAAGAGGGGUGAAUACGUGAAUACGUAAAUUGAGACUUGGAAAGUUUAGACAAUUAUAUAAUUAUAGCUAUGUAUUUAGACUACACGUAAUUAGGCUACAAAGUUAGAAAUGCCACUUUUUUCUUUUAUAUUUAUGCACUGUCUCCAAAUCUUUGAAGAUUGGAAUUUGGACUCUUCGGCCCGAUUUACUCUCUAAAUCUCUUCCCUUGAACGCUAUAACUUCAUGAUUUGGCUCAAACCAAUGAUCUCUUGAAGAAAUAGAUUCCAUCUAAAUGUAUCUCUUGUCAUUUCAAAAUAGACCAAAAACAACAAAGGAAAGAAAAAACAAAUUAACCCAAUUUCCCUUACAAAUCUACCUGUUUUUUAAUGCAGCUCUCACUAUGACAACAAUUUCAUCCAAACUCACAAACUUCAAUCAAUAAUUACCCCCACUACUCUAUGCCAACACAGUUUUCUACACAUAAAAAAUGAAACAACAGCAUCAAUUUCUAAUACCAAUAAGAAUCAUAUGUUUUAAAUCACUGAGAUACAAUUUCCCAAGUGCAAUGAUACACAGCACAAGAAUUUGAUCCUUUUCAAUGGACUACUACGACUUUCAAGAAUCAUCAAUGGAAGCAGAAGUAAUAAAAGGAAUAAAUUAUUAAACUCAAGUUGAGCAAAGAUUCCAAGUAGGCAAGUAUUUUUCCAAAACAAAAUAAUCAUGUGAAUAAUCAUGUAAAGGGAAUUUGUCAAACUUACACUGAGCAGUAUCUGAUCUCAUUGCUACCCCAAUAUCCAGCUCAUUCUCUCUUUGCUGAUCUGGCAUGAAAAAUUAGAAACCAUACAAGUAUGCUUUAUUCUAUCACCCAUCUUGAAGUUGUUAGCUAUCUUUUCUUGUAAAUGAUCUCUCUUUCUGCCAGAUUGGCAAGAUUAUGAUGGGUACUAAUCUGUAUGUUGCUUGAACAUUUACUAGAACAAUGUAUAAAUCUAUAGUAGUUAAGAUACUACAGUUUCUCCCUUGAUAGAAAACCAUUUCACCAAUGGAAGACAAGAAAUAAACAAAAAUGAGGGUAAAAUUAUCAACAGUACCGAAGUAAUCAGGCAAACAUUUUAGAUAUACUAAGAGACUACGAGUGAAGUUUCUGGACUAAUGGUAUCUAUUGGGUAGCAUAGAAAGCUUUUCUAUCAAAGCCGGCAUUGUUUGGGAGUAAAAUAAAAAUCCUUUCUGCAGUGAAGGGGUACUUAAAGGGAAGUACAUGUAAGGUUCUUGGGCUGGAAAGAACUUCAAACUAGUUUUGAUUUGUUCCUAAGCACUUUAAGAAGUGCUUAUAAGUUAUAUGAUUAAAAAUUAAAAACGACACCCUAAACCCAUCCUCAGCCUUUAAAGAAAGAAAAGGGAAAGGAAAAACUUGCAAGCAAAACAAGAUCUAAAUAAAUCCGAGGGAAAAAGUGAAUUUCCUACAAUGUUACAACUACUAUAUUGCAGUAACAUAAUUAACUAGAAAACUUCAGAGCUAACAUAUUAAUCUUCAGUAUACUGAUAUGCACACAGUUGGGUACAAUUAUGAAAUCUAUCUAUUUAGGACAAAAGUCCCUUUCAGGAUCAGGUGUUUGUUGCGAAUGAUACAUGCCAAAUGAUUUUUUCUCUAAAAGGUAGCCAAAAGUAGGUCAAACAGUAUCAAGAGCAAACCAAAUGCUCCAAAUAAUCAAGUACCAGUUCCAAAUUAACACCAACCAAUAGCAAAUAUUCCACAACAAAAAUUACUCAAGAUGGAAAAGAGGAAUUACUUCACGCUAAUGAAAAAAUAUGUUCAUAUUCAUUGGUGUGGAAAGCAACAACCUGAGUGGAAAAGCACAAAAACAGCUUCCACUUCAUUACGAUGUGCACAAGGACUCGGAACAGCAUAUGAACUUGAAAAGAUAUUAUAGAAAUAAAAACAUUGCAUUUACUUCAAGUUAUCUUCAGCGAGCUCUAACAAGUAACAGCAUUUGCAGAAAUCCUACAAACCAUACCACUCGCAUAGAGCACCUAUUUAUUGAAAUCAAUAUAUCCUACCAGAUACUUUAAUAGCUUGAUUUUUACAACUCAUGGAUAAUUUGUAUUGCAUCCCCUAAAAAGAGGAGGUGAGAAACAAGGCUCUAGAAGAGAGGCACACCACUUAUUCUAUAAGGUCUCAAUUGAUUGAACUCACUCACUAAAGGGUGUAAAAUAAAAAGCAAAACACUAUUAUAGGCUUCCCAACUGAACCUUGAAAGCUUUAUAAAGUUGCUUCUCUCAGAUAGAAGCAUAUCAUCCACCAUCAUCAUUCAAAGCAACACUUAUUUAAUUACUACCUCCCACUUUCAACAGAACACUACCUCGUUUUCAUUUACAUAGGAAGAACUGAAGGCUCCACCAACAGUUCGAUUUUGAACAACAUCUAAGAAAAAUUUGGUUAAGAAAGGCUCAUAGUUAGGCAUUUUGGCAUACCCAGGUAAAUAAUUAAUGUCAAUCACAAGAUACCUAUUAUGAUCAUUACUAUCUCUAAUCAGAUCAAAGUUAAAAAGCCUAAGCCCUGUUGCUUCCCUUAACCCAGCUGCAACAUGCAUCACAAAUUCCAAAGAUGGCAUUUCAACAUUACCCUCGUCGUCCCCUUGAGCUCCUGAAUUCGAAAUCUGCGAAAAACUCGAAACCGCAUCCAAUUUCUUGACAUCCUCCGGCCCAAUGUCCGGCAGCGAUUUCCUCGUCACGCACACCACGCACUCCCCCACUACAUAAACCUUGAACACAACACCACCAUGAUUAACAAAUUCCUGCAACACAAUCGGAGCGUUUAAUCCCUUCAAUCCACUAUCAUUCGACACCAAACACAAUUGAUGAGACUUUGCACUGCCAUUAGACUCCAGGGGCUUGGCAAUUAUAGGAAAUUUAAGCCCCAAAUCGCUAAACGUAUUCAACCCAUUUUUCAGCACAACAUCCAAAUCAUUCACCACGACUUGCUUAGGAGUUUCAAUCCGCUCAUCCCCUUGCGGAACUUUCACCUCCUUAACAACUUCAAGCAUGGAAUCACGAUUGAGAAGCCGGGAGAUUAGCUCUGGUGGGUCGACAACGACGACAUCGGGAAACUGGGAAGUGAAAUCCUGCAGUUGCUGAACCCAUGAGGGGUCGUAGAGCUUGUGGAUGAUGCAGUGGAAAGGGGUUUGGUCAGUAAGAGGGAGAAGAGGGUCAAUGCGGACAAAGUCGAUGCCAUGGAGUUUGGCAUAGUCGACGAGUGAAGGGAGGAUGAAAGAACGCUCCUUUUUUAGGGAAAGGGCAUACCCAAUUCGGAAGCGAGGGGAAGACAUGGAUGAGGGAAAAGGGUGUUUGAGAAAUUGGAAAAUGGAGAGGAAUUUUGGGUUUGCAGAGGAGAGGGAAAAAGGGGAAUUGGCAAGAGAGAAGAGGGAAAUGGGAGUUUAUAUAGUCGGAGUUGGAAGACAAGUGUUUGGCAAAGGCAAUCUUUGAGUUAGUGAAACUCAAAGUGAGUAUUUAUUAAGGGGAUGAGAAUCGGUUUAUUCAUUUACGUCAAGCAAGAUAAUAUUCAACAAAAGUUUAAUUCAUCGCAACCUAAUAUUUAUGGUUAAGUAUUUGAGUUUUUGGUUAUAAAGGGAUAAUUCAAAGUAUCAUUACAACCAAAAUGUUUUAUUCAACUACGGUGGUUAGUGUACGUGUGCUUAAACAUAACAUAAGAGCUACAUGAUCAACUAGAAUUCUAAAGUUCUAAAGAAGGUCGUACACGUCGAUCUUACGAAGGUAAAAAUUAUGUCUAAAUGCUUUACUUUUACAUAUGUUUGGGUUACUAGUAAAAUAAAUCCAACAAUUCAUAACAAUAAGUAAUGGUUGAUUAACAAAUGAACGUCUACAUAACCAAAACAUUCAUGACAUUUGAUGUACACUAAAAUAUACAUUCUAAACUCUGUAAACGAUUACUAAUUACCUGAUCAUGGAAGGAAUGAUUCAUUCCUAAAAGUUUUCCUUUAUUUUCUAGGGCACUGGUUAGAUUUCCUUUCCAAGAUUAUAAAUUUACUAUGACUAAACCAAAUAACUGUAUUAAUAUCACAUACACAAGUUGAGGCAAGGAAGUAAAGAUUAAGAGACAAGUGGAGUAGGAAUGACGACCAAGUAUUAUAGGGUGAUUAUGUCAUUAUUGCAACUAAAGAGGUAUUUUCUCAAUCUUUUCUUUGGUUGUUGUGUCACUCGAAUUUUGAAGUCAUUUUUCACCAUAAAGACCUUGAAUGGAUUUCCAACUUACAAGUGUGUUUCUGCAUGAAGAAAAACCAUUACUUGUCACAUGAGCAAAGCUCAUUAUAAUUAAAGAGGGUAGAGGAAGAUGUGAUGAAAGAAUGGAGAAAAAAAAGGAGGGAGGUGAGAGGACAAAUUAUUAACUUUGUUGAUCUUUUGUAGGUAAAAUUAAAGAUUAAAAUUUAAGAGACUCUCCUAAACUUAUUUCUUAAAGCCCAAUAAAAGAAAACUCUAACAUGAAAACAAAAGUGAUAAAUGGUUUUUUUAUAUUUCUUAUUUAAGAUGGUGUGUAAUAGUAUCGUAGGUAUUCAUUAGAGCUUGAAUGGCACAACCAUUUUAUUUAACUCGUAAUGGUUUGAGAAUUACAAAAUUUUGAUAGAGAUUAUUGACAUCAUCCAAGUAUAUUUCGUUAUGAAACGAAAUUUCUUUUUAAGUUAAUGGAAUUUAGCAAAUCAAUGAAUACGUGUUUAAACACAAUAUUACUUUUUAUUGUCUAGUCUAGAACAUUAGAGUUUGGGUGGAUUGACGUAUAUAUAGCUUGUUUUCCAUUUUUCUUUCCAUAAUGUAUUGUUAAUCAUUUUUUUUUGGCAUAGGAAAAACUAAACUAAGAAAAAAUAGUAUUUUGUUUGGUUGGUGAACAAUUCUAAAACUAAUAUCAUAAUUGAAGAUCCUUUAAUUUGAUUCUAAAAUAAGCAGACAAUCAAGAUAUGCAUGCAUUUGAUAUUAUUAGAAUAAAUACCCCCAAGCAUUAUAUUCUUCCACCAAACAAUGAUGUGAAUUGAGUUUUGUUUUUGUUUAUAUACUUUUGUUCUAAUUAUAUGAUAUACAUUUAUAUUAAACAAAAUAUUUUAUUUUCCAAUAUAUCAAAACUCCAAUUAAACAACACAUAUUUGUGAUUAUACACAUUCACAAAUGUUCAUAAAUUAAUGCACUUUUAAAAGGAUUUAGAAAAAUAGUGCAUGCAUAUAUAUAUAUGUUCUCUCUAUCCCUUUUGUAUUCUAACACCUAUUUGUUUUUAUCUCUCUCCAUGGGCACAUGUUUCUUUCUUUCUUUUCUAUUAGUUUUUAUAUAAAAUUUUGUAUUCUCUUCCCUUUAUAUUCUCUCGUGAAUAAUUCUAUUUAAGUUUUCACGUGGAGGUUGGUCAUACCCAACCUUAUCUACACUAUCUAUCAUAUGACCAUUUGUAAACAACAUAAGUAACACAUAUUUGUUUAUCAUUUUCUUGUUUCGUGUUGAAUGUUUGUGCAUCUUCUUCGUGUUAGUGUUUCUCCUCCAUAUUCUCACAUCUUCUCUUAUUCGUUAUUUCAUCUCUUCUUCCAUAAUUUUUUACUUCUUUCUCAUUUCUCAUCCUCGAUAUCAUCUCCUUAUUCUUUUUUCAAUAUCACGUAUAUAUUGUAUCAUUCUUCUUAACUUCUUCUUUCACCACAAAUAUAAACAGUUGUUUAGCAAAAUUUAUUUAGAUUUGGUACCCUCCCAUUACAACAAUUACACUAAGAAAAUUGAAUAUUAGAGAAGAAGUAAGAAAUGAUUAAAUAACUCAUAUGGAACCAUUAAACGGGAUUUUGAGUAAUUUACUUUGAUCCUAACAAAAUUAGGAUAUGAAUUUCCCAAUCUCUAGUAGAUGAGGAUCAAAUUUAAUAUUAUCUUCAUUUUUUUUUCUUAUUUGCUCUCUCAACGGUAUUAACAUUAAUAAUAAUUCUAAAAUAGUUAAAAUGAAGUUUAUAUAUAGAAUAAUUUAAUAGUUAAAUUUUACAUCUUUCCAAAAGUUUUUAAUAAUUAAGAAAAUGAUUAAAAAAUUUAUUUUAAAACAUAGAUAUAAUAAUUAAAAAAAUUAAAAUUUACAUUUUUUUUCAGAAGUAAAUAAUUAAGAAAAUGAUAAAAAAAAAUAUUUUAAAACAUGUAUAUAAUAUUUAAAAAUGAAAAUUUACAUUUUUCCAAAGUAAAUAAUUAAGAAAAUGGUAAAAGUUAUUAAAACAUAUAUAAUAAUUAAAAAAUUAAAAUUUCAAUGUAUUUUCAAAAGUAAAUAGUUAAGAAAAUGAUCCAAACUUAUUUUAAAACACAUAUAUAAUAAAUAAAAAUUAAAAUUUACAUUUUUUUUUGAAAAGUGAAUAAAAAUGAUAGAAAAGAAAAAUAUUUAAAUAAGUUAAUUUAAAAUGAUUGAAAAGGAAGAGAGCGUCUCCUCAAGACUUGUCCAUCUCUAUGCUUUCUUUUUCUUCUUGUUAUGGCAAGUCUUCAAAACUCACCCACCCUAUGAAGACAUUAAAACAAAGGAAAAGGUCAAAUAUUUUGAUAAAUUGUUUUAGAAUAGCAUUAUUUUAAUAAUAAGUUUUAAAAAUACAAUAUUUUAAUACAACAUUCCUUCGAGAGGCAAAAAAAAUACUUUGAUGUAUUUAAUUUCUAAUUAGUUUCAAUCUUUUACCUGAAAAAGUAAAUAUAAAGAUAAAUAGUUAAAUGUAUAUUUCAUUAUCCAUUCAUCCUUUAAUCGUCUAUAUCUUUAACAAGUGAAACGUGAUUAAUAGAUAAUAUUAUUCGGUUCUCUCCUUGUUUAGUUCGAACAAUUGAAACUAAUCCAACAUAUUAUUCUAAGUUAAUUUCAUAUGAGUUAGUAGAGGAACUAAUAGAUCUAUAGAUCAUGGACUCCAACGAUCUGAGAUUAAUUGGCUAAAUCAUUUUAGACUAAGCUAAUUAAUAUUAGUUAACUAACAGGUCAGUCACGUAGUUGCACUCCCCCCACUAUAGAUAUUUGUGUUCAUUUGACAUAGCCAUUAUUAGUAAGUUAAUCUUUCACAGAUUGUUCAUAAUCUCGACUGGGUCAAAAUUAUCAUUUUAUCUCGAUCCACUAUUGAACAAUUGGUUUAAAGUUCAACGUAUAAAUCAAAUUCUUCUAGGGCAAAUGAGAGGGUAAAGCUCCCUUGUUCAAGACCUAGAUUUAGUCCUCAAGGGACCAACCCUACUAUUAACCUUAACAUAGGCAGGAGUGAAUUGUGUCUUGCACCCUAUGUCCUCAGCUAUCCAUCCGAUCUUACUCUUGAAAUAGGAGACUUAUUGGGCCACCACUGAUGAGUUGUCAUCAUCUAUACAGACCUAAGAAUAAUCUCGUGUGAACACGUGUUCAUAGUUAGCUCAAGAUUAAGAUUAAGUUAACAUAGGUCAUCAAUAAUCGAACUAGACAGUUUUAUAUAAUAAAUAGUGUUAUAUAAUGUAAAAGUGACUAUUUCAUAGCUUAGUCUUAUGUAAACUUUUUAUGUAAGAUGCCCCCACUUUCAUGUCUCCACAUGAAAGAUUCACGAUCACAUCGUUUAUGUUAACUACAAAGUAGGAUGUAUCAUAGUGUCCCCAGAAUAAAGCAUCUCAGAAUAAGACACUCAACUUUAUUCAUAUACUAUAAGGCAAUUAAUUUAUAUACUACUCGAACUUGAUCUAUGUUUAUGUCUCUACAUAAAGUUCAAGUUUACUCAAAGAUAGCCUUGAGAUUCAAGUUUAUAAUAUUCAAUUCUACUAAUAAUUUUUCAAUAACAACUAUAUAUUGAAUUGAAUAUGAUUUUAUAUUAUAAACUAUGUAUUUUAGGACAUGAAUUUCAACAAUUUUCAAAUAUAGGAAAUUAAAUUGAAUUAUUUUUAAAUAUAGAAAAUUUUACUUUCUAUAUGUGAUAGACUACAACAAACUUAAAUACGGCGAUUUGCUACUAAUAGGAAGUAAAAUUUUGUUAUAUUUAUAAAUAUUUUAAACAAUUUUCCUAUUUCUAAUUUAUAUAGUUUCGUAUGAUAUAUGUAAUUUUGUUUAUGGACUAAUUUAAUCUUAAUUAGUAUUGUUGCACACGUUGAAUAAGCACUAACAAAAUAAAGCUUAAUUAACUAACAAUAUUUGAACACCAUAUGCUUACUAAUAAUAACUCUCCACAUGAUUUUUUGUUUUUGGGUGUGACGAAGUGUAAUUCUAACUUAUCAAUGAUGGUAAAAAUGGAAUGAUAAAGAUUAUAAAAUAAACAAAUUAUAGAGAGAGUAAAAGAGAACAUCAAAAUUUUAUAUUGUUUCACCUCAAUCUUGGACUACGUUCCAAUCUUCUACAACUUUAGGUUUGAAUACUUAAUACUUUUAUACUUGUGAUAUGAAAUUCUCUCGAAUACCUCCGCAUGAACAUAUUGUGUAUUUUCUUAGAAGUCAAUUACCAUGCAUAAGAUAGAAAAAUAAAGGUAUGUUGUUUGGGUUUCCAAUUAUUCAUCACCACACAUUCACAUAUAUAAUAUUUUUUUAGGAAGAAGAGAGAUUUUAACCAUAAAUUAUUUUGCCUCUUUCCUUCAUGCCUCUUUCUCUCACUAAAGGUUAUUUUUAGAAGAUACUUUCCUUCUUCAACAACCUUUGCAACCCAUGCAAUUUUUUAAUUGUAUUAUCUUUAAAAGUUCAUUCACCUUGUUCGUUUGGAAGUUCGUCCUUAUUAUAAAACACGAAGAUCGUUGUUCUUCAAUGUAUUCUUUCAAGAGGCUUUCAAAGCUAUUGUUUCAUUAAGAAUCUUUGUGAAGAUAAGUUAUUACCUUCUUAGAUAUUUUAUAAAGAUUGUUCAAUAUCUUCAAAGAAAACACAAGGUGAAUACGUGAGAAGAGAAUUAAAGAAGACUUAGUAAAUUGAAAUGUGUUCAAUUACUUCUUUAAUUAGGUGAGUCUGUCCAUCUUCAUUAGAUUAUUCAAAUCACAAUUCAGAGGAAACCUAAUUAUUUUCAUUUACGAGAAAAAAAUAAAAGAGUAUUAAAUCAAGGGGGAGUUUCUUCUAUAUUGUUGAAGUUUGUUCAUUGUUACUCAUUUGAAAAUCUUCUUAUCUGAUCUAUAAAAACUUUCUAGAAGUGGGUGGGUUUUCAUUAAGCUCGGUUACAAAAGUUACAAUGUUAUUUUAUUUUGUUGUUCCUUUAGUUAUAUUGUUAGUUGUUAACUAAAGUAAUAGCCGAAGGUAAACUACUAUUUUAUUUUUUCAAAAGCGAUAUUCCAUUGAAAACUACCAAAACAAAAUGAGUUUAAUAUUAUUACAAUUCGGGGUCAAAAUGCUCAACCAUUACAACGCAUUCCAAUCCCAUCACUGGUGUCCAAACACUCACUUUGUUGUAUCGUGAUAACCCUAAAUAGUAGAGUAGUCUAUCAUGAAUAAACUAUGAAAUUUUACUAUAUUUGUAAACUUUUUCAGCCGUUUUUGUUAUUGAGAAAUAUUUUGUGAUAAGAUAUUUAUUAUAGUUAUUUCGAAUAGAAAAUAUUCUAUCUAAUAAUUUGUGAAAAACAUGGUUAGAACUAAGCAGAAUAACUCCAAAUAUCACCGCCCAACACACCUUUACUUGAUCUAAGGGAAAACAUUGAAUGUGAUGGUAGAGAAAUUAGCAUUGGUGCCACUAUAUUUUGAUGUAAAUUUGAAGGCAAUCAUGUAAGCUAAGUAGAACACCUUUAAAUUGACAGAAAGCUCUUUAAUUACAUGUAGCUCAAGGAGUUGGUCAUCCACACAUAAGUAGAGCAUAUGACUAGACCUUUUCUAAUGUUGUUUUUCAUCGGUCCUACUUGAUAAUUUUGCAACUAUAAAGGGGAUAUUUGAGUUGUUAAUACCCACAGGACAUCUUGACCAAAUACUUCUUUGGGCCCAAGAUGAUACAUGGACUCAUAAUAGAGAAAUCAUUCGCCCUUGAGGUAAGGAUAUCCAUCCACAAUUUAAAGCUAAGAUCCAUUCUUGAUUGAGGAGAGAAAUAUAAUGCAAAUAUUAGGUUUUAAAACAACCAAACAUCUAAUUAUAUAAACAAAAGAGAAUGCAAACAUACUUUGAACAAACAAAUUGUCACUGGCAUAAUGAUUCAUUAAGAAUAUCAAGUCUAAAAUUUCAAUUAUAAGGCAGGUACACAAAAACACUAUUUCCAAGCAUCGAUCGACUAUAUGCAUAACAACAUUUCGAUUCAUGACUCCAUUUAUCUCAAAAACAAAUAACUGAAUUUUAACAAAGGCGUAGAAAUAGCUCAUUUUGUGUGCUAUUUGGUUAUCUCAUGUAUUGUAUUUGCAUAAAGACAUACUAAAAUUUGAAGUUAUUCUCCAUAUUGGAUGGUACACACACCACCGACUUAUACACUCAUGCACCAUUCAUUUUACUUAUUUCCAUCGAAUUUGUUCGCUCUUUUAUCCAAGUCAAAAAGAAAGGAAGAAUGCUAUUUCUUUUGUGGUUGUAGUUAAAGUCAAACAAUAUGACUCUAUCGAUCCAAACUAUGGUCUCUUCCAAUUGAAUAGUGUUUCUCUAAAAAGUCAUUUUUAUUUAAACCUACUCUAUCAUAAAAAUGGUUUAAAAUAUAUAUUCCAAUAAGGUUUCUAAAACUAUUUUAAAAGGUUAUAUAAAACUAUUCUAGAACUACACAAUCAUGUGGAUAUAAUCUAAAUGACAUUGGACUAUAUUCAACACGAUCGUUUACCGUGGUCAACAUGAUCAUUUAAAUUUGAAGCAUUUCUUCCAUUGUUAAAAAAAAACUACAUGAUCGUGUUGAUACUGCCUACACGAUUGUGUAUAAUUUCUUACAAGAUCACAUAUCAUGAUAGUUUAGAAAAAGAAUAACAUGUGCUCAUGUGAUCGAUUAAUUGUGUGUUGAUUGGGGCAUUUUUUAUGUUAUCCAUUUGGGGCAAAUGAGUUAUUUUCAUUUUCAAAAUUGUUCUAUACAUACAGUGUGAAUAUUUGUUCGAAAUGUUUAAUUUUUUUUUUAAAAGAUAAGUCAUUUUUAAAAUUGAUUUUGGAGUGUAUUUAAAAUUAUUUUUACUGAGAGAAUUUAAAUAAAAAAUAGUGUUUAAUCCAAAUAGAGGAUGAGACAAUUGUGGAGGAAAUGUAAUGUUUAGUUAGAACAUUUAUUUAGAAAUUAGGUGUUGUGUAUGGAAAAAAUAUUCGAAAGUGAACAUAAAACAUAAUAUUUAUUUAGGACUUUCGUUCACUCUUAAUUUUGAUUUAAUUAUAAAAAGUAUUGUUUUUAUUUUCAAUUUAAUUUUGGUGAAAAAUAUUAUUGAUGAAUAGUAGCUGAUAUGCUAAAAAUAACAUAAAGGUAAGUUUACUUUAUUCUACAAUACAAUACAAUUUUGUAGAAUAGUGUGUGUUACGUCUCUCAUAUUCAAUGUAUCCUUUUAAUUCUACAAAAAAAAAAAUUAAAAUAUAUAUAUUUGGUCCGUUUUUAAUAAUAGAGCUAAAAAAAAUGUUUUUGAAAGAAAAUUAGUAUGUGGAUAUUUUAAGUUAGGAAAAAAAUAAAAAAAAGUAUGUUUUGUUAGGAGGUUAUCUUUUAACUCUAAGGGGUCGUUUGACCCUCAAACUAUGAAGGAUUGGAAUUAGUUAUUUUUGUCCCACAUGUUAUCAUAUUAUUAAUAAGUUUUCUAAGUAAAGGCCAAAUUUUUAAAGAUGAAUAGGAAGUUUCAGACGGGGACCGGCAAGGUUAGGUGUUGAGGCUAGACGAGUUGGACUUGUGUGUGGUCAUCUGAGAGAUUAGUAAGUGUGCACGUUUGGGCAUUGAGUGUGUUGGGCAUUAUGACAAGACAAAGUAGACGCUUGGGGUGAGUGGCUGUGAGGUUAGUGAGCCUACCAGUUUGUGUGCGCACAACAUGCCCAUGACAGUGUUAUGGCAUAUGUAAUGGGCCUUGAGUCAAAAAUGGUUUUUCUUUUACAUUUUGAGAUCUUUGGUUGAGCCAUAAGUUUAUGAGUGAUAAAAUGAUUCUCAAUAUUUAUUUAUAAAUAUAAGUUUAAAUCUAUAUGUUUCUAAGCAUUUUUUAUAACUCCGAAAAAUAUUCCUUUACUGAUUUGCAUACCAUGAGCUUAAGAGUAAGUUCAAAAGUGUAUGUUUAAAGUUGGGUUUAUGCAAGCAUGAUUUAUAAAAUAUUUCGAGCAUAUUUUCAUGAAUCUAUACUCAUAUGUUCUAUGUUACUCUCUAUGACCAGUGGCUUUCUGUUAUUGAUGUGAAGCCUGACAAGUCUAUGUUCCUUUUACAUCAAUGAAGGUGCAACUCGUUGUGCCUAUGUGGACAAAGAUAUAGUUACAAUUGUACCUAAGUUGAGAAAAUUACGUCAUUGACGGUGCAGUGUACCAACACCCAUAUUUCAUGUUAAGAACGAGUUAACCAUAAUGAUCAAGUAAAAUUUAUGAUAUGUAUUUCAAAUGUUUAUUUAUAAGUUCAAGUUUCAUGUUUGUGAAAUGAUAUUCAACUACUUGAAUGUUUCAGCUGAAGCCAAAAAAUUAUGCAUAACUAUUUAGAAAUGUAUGUUUUUAUAAAAAUCAUCUCUCACUAAGUCUUUCAAAUGUUUUUUCACAUUUUAGGAAGUGAUCAUUGUGUCGAGCAUGCUCUACAGUUGCUAUUGGCUAAUUGUGAGCUGAGGUUAUUUAUUAUUUAGUAGCAUGUUUAUUAUGUUUUAGCAUGAGUUACAAGUUGUGGCUCUAGUUAGUAAGUUGUUAUUAAGUUUAUGCUUCAAUUGAGUUUUUGUCAGAGGUUGCAACUAGUAGUCCAUGUUGUUACCAAAGCAUUUAGCUUGUGUUUGUUUCUUUAAAGCAUGCAUAUGUGUUGUGGGUGUUAGUUGAGUCAGAUAGGUUAGAUGGUCUGUGAGUUUUGUCAAAAUAUGACGAUGCUCGUCAGACCUCACACCCUCUUUAGGAGUCAGGUUGGGAGUUAGAAAAGGGACUACGUGACACCAUCUUCAUGGUAAAGGGCAUUUUUAGCCAAACACCGCAGUGAUCAGAAAUCGUAGCUUCUUAAUCAUCUUCCCCAAGAACAAAAUGACAAUUUUUAGAUCCAUGACUCAGAAAGCCAUAGAGAGAACACACUUCCGAUAGGCAUUAAUACUUCAUAGUUAACCAACAACCACACAUCCAACCAUCAACAUUUAAUUUAAUACCUUGACAUAGAGGUUUAGUAAUGUCAAUCUCAGUUUAAACACAAGGCUUGGCCCUCGACAAGAUCCAUUAGUACUUUUACCAUUCACACACAUUCAAAAGUACCCACCACAUUUUCCAAUGGUGUAGACAUAAUCGGAUUCAUACAAGGCAACGACUAAUCUAAAAUAUAAACCCAAAAAGACACUCGAUCAAAGGCCAAAUCCAUGAGCUGCAACAAUAGCAAGAUAUUCCUCCCAUUUUAUCCACUUCCUUCUGUGCUCAUUCAACCUUCCAUGCAAUUGACAUUGUUUUUCAGACUAUUCCUCCUGCAAUCACCCUUGCACCAACAUAUUCCCACUAUCCUUGCUAGUGAGCUCAUGAAACCAAUCCCUGCCUUUCUCUCACGUCUGAUUGAUCUUAUUUCGUAUUGGACUGGGAAGGAUGUAAAGAAAAAAGAAGAGCCCUUAUAUUUAAUUUAUCUUUUUAAAAGCAAGGAAUUGCUUUCUAAAACAAUCUGCUUUUAACCCAUAUUCCAACUUUUCGAAACGAUUAAAAUUUCUCAGAAUUAAAAUAUAGACAUGAAGAUUUCAAUUUUACAAAUGUAUUAGUAAAAUAUAAAUAUUCAUCAAUAUCGUCUCUACGUUGAAAUUUAUCGAUCCAACCAAAAUAUAGUUGAUUUUGUUAUUAAUACUUUUGUUUAUAUUGGAUUAAACCCAUCAUUAUUUCUAUGUUUUACAAGUAUUUCAUAAAAAACGUUGAAGAAAACUUCCAGACCGAUUUACAUAUAUUGAGAAGCAUAUUUUGAUUAGGUAUCUCGAUACAAAACGAAAGUGGCAGCCACCAAGUAAAUGACAAUUCUCAAUUAUACUUUAUUAUAUAAUAUAAAGUCACGUUAUCUAUAACAUAAUAUAAUAAACGCAACCACUAGUCGGUUCUUGCACCAAAUCCCAUGCAUGCAUGGACUUUUUUUCUUUUUUAAUCUCUUAGAUUUGUUAGGACUCCAAUGGAACUUUAGAAUUCCCUUCUUUCUAAAUUACAAAUUUAACACAUUUUAAGUUUGUGUUUUCUAGAAUCCUAAUUUUUUAAUUUUGUAUAUAUAUGUAUAAAGUAGAUAUAUUGUUUCUAAGAAAUUAAUCAAUAUGUUAUAUAUUAUCUUAAAUUUCAUGUACAAUCAAACUCUAAUUUUUUUUUUUUUCAUUAAGCUUGUAAUUUAAUAAAUACUUGAUAGAAGUCUAAUAAAUAUCUAUCAUUAAUAGAAUAAUAUAAUAUUUUGUGAAUAUUUUCAAGAUAUUUAUAAUAAUUUUUUAAAGCAAACAUAUACUAAAUUAGAAAAGAAAAUGGAAAACGAUUGGAAACAAAAGUAGUAAUAAUAAUAAUAAUAAUAAUAAUAAAACAACGUGAAAGCAACAAUUUAUUCAUGGGCAUCGUACUAAAAUUUUCAAGAUUUUUUAAUUACACCUCAAUAAAUUAUUGUUGUCAAUUUGAGGCUACGUGAUGCAUUUUAUUCGCCUUUUUCUACAAUAGAAAUAUAAUAUUUAAAACUACAAAUUUUGUAAAGGUUUGAGAAUAUAAUCCAAAUCACUUUUCUCGUUUUUUUAAUCCUCCAAUUGUUUUAGUCCAUAAUAAGAACAAACUAAAAAUUAAAAGAAAAAUACUUAUGGAGAAUCCAUGGAAAAAUUGUUAAUACUAUUAGAUGUCAUGACAUUUUUUUUUUUUUUUUUAAUGUAAGAAGUGAUUAGAAUUUAGAUAGGAGUAGGAGCAUUUCAUCCUCUAUUGUAGUUAAAAAGAAAUAAAAAUUAGAGAGGAACAUUUCAAAAUAUAGCAAAAAAAGAAAAAAGGUAUUUACAAAUUAGCAAAAUUAUUAAAUUAUAUGUAUCUUUUUUUUUGUAUGAAAGAGAAUUGCUGGAAUACAAACGUUUUUUAAAAAGAAAAAAAAAAGGGUUGAAUUGAAUGCUCCUCGAUUGUUGUAACAGGCUUUCACGUUCAAUGGAAACAGCUGCAGCACCGUGGGUUUUGUUUAUCGUUUUCAGUGGCGGACGCCACCUCAUCCACAUCCACCUUCUUCUC